GGUUUUAUACUUUAUAAAGAAGGUUUGGUUUGCAAUCAGAUAGUGGGUGCUAAGAGCCCCUAAAACCA
rnacentral:tRNA from 1 species